CGAACCUUCGGGUUAGUGGCGGACGGGUGAGUAACGCGUGAGAAUCUGCCCUCAGGAGGGGGAUAACAGUUGGAAACGACUGCUAAUACCCCAUAUGCCGAAAGGUAAAACGAAUUUCGCCUGGGGAUGAGCUCGCGUCUGGUUAGCUUGUUGGUGGGGUAACGGCCUACCAAGGCUUCGAUCAGUAGCUGGUCUGAGAGGACGAUCAGCCACACUGGGACUGAGACACGGCCCAGACUCCUACGGGAGGCAGCAGUGGGGAAUUUUCCGCAGUGGGCGCAAGCCUGACGGAGCAACGCCGCGUGAGGGAUGAAGGCCUUUGGGCUGUAAACCUCUUUUCUCAAGGAAGAAGAUCUGACGGUACUUGAGGAAUAAGCCACGGCUAAUUCCGUGCCAGCAGCCGCGGUAAUACGGGAGUGGCAAGCGUUAUCCGGAAUUAUUGGGCGUAAAGCGUCCGCAGGCGGCCGUUUAAGUCUGUUGUUAAAUCGUAGAGCUCAACUCUAUCACGGCAAUGGAAACUGUUCGGCUUGAGUAUGGUAGGGGCAGAGGGAAUUUCCGGUGUAGCGGUGAAAUGCGUAGAUAUCGGGAAGAACACCAGUGGCAAAAGCGCUCUGCUGGGCCAUUACUGACGCUCAUGGACGAAAGCCAGGGGAGCGAAAGGGAUUAGAUACCCCUGUAGUCCUGGCCGUAAACGAUGAACACUAGAUGUUGGGGGAAUCGACCCCUUCGGUGUCGUAGCUAACGCGUUAAGUGUUCCGCCUGGGGAGUACGCACGCAAGUGUGAAACUCAAAGGAAUUGACGGGGGCCCGCACAAGCGGUGGAGUACGUGGUUU
rnacentral:rRNA from 1 species